rnacentral:rRNA from 1 species
AGUUUGAUCAUGGCUCAGAUUGAACGCUGGCGGCAGGCUUAACACAUGCAAGUCGAACGGUAGCACAUAGGAGUUUGCUCCUUGGGUGACGAGUGGCGGACGGGUGAGUAAUGCUUGGGAAUCUGGCUUAUGGAGGGGGAUAACUACUGGAAACGGUAGCUAAUACCGCGUAAUGUCUUAGGACUAAAGGGUGGGACCAUUUGGCCACCUGCCAUAAGAUGAGCCCAAGUGGGAUUAGGUAGUUGGUGAGGUAAAGGCUCACCAAGCCCGCGAUCUCUAGCUGGUCUGAGAGGAUGACCAGCCACACUGGAACUGAGACACGGUCCAGACUCCUACGGGAGGCAGCAGUGGGGAAUAUUGCACAAUGGGGGGAACCCUGAUGCAGCCAUGCCGCGUGAAUGAAGAAGGCCUUCGGGUUGUAAAGUUCUUUCGGUGACGAGGAAGGCGAUUGUUUUAAUAGAACAGUCGAUUGACGUUAAUCACAGAAGAAGCACCGGCUAA